rnacentral:rRNA from 1 species
GACGAACGCUGGCGGCGUGCUUAACACAUGCAAGUCGAACGGAAAGGCCCUGCUUUUGUGGUGUGCUCGAGUGGCGAACGGGUGAGUAACACGUGAGUAACCUGCCCUUGACUUUGGGAUAACUUCAGGAAACUGGGGCUAAUACCGGAUAGGAGCUCCUGCUGCAUGGUGGGGGUUGGAAAGUUUCGGCGGUUGGGGAUGGACACGCGGCUUAUCAGCUUGUUGGUGGGGUAGUGGCUUACCAAGGCUUUGACGGGUAGCCGGCCUGAGAGGGUGACCGGCAACAUUAAGACUGAGAUACGGCCCAGAAUCCUACGGGAGGCAGCAGUGGCGAACAUUGCACAAUGGGCGGAAGCCUGAUGCAGCAACGCCGCGUGCUGGAUGACGGCCUUCGGGUUGUAAUCCGCUUUCGCCUGUGACGAAGCGUGAGUGACGGUAAUGGGUAAAGAAGCACCGGCUAACUACGUG